rnacentral:ncRNA from 1 species
CCUUCGAUGUCUGCUCUUCCUAUCGUUGCGAAGCCGAGUUCAAGCGUCGGAUUGUUCUUCCCCCUAAGAGGGAACGUGAGCUGGGAUUAGACCUUCGUGAGACAAGUA